AGAGUUUGAUCCUGGCUCAGGACGAACGCUGGCGGCGUGCUUAACACAUGCAAGUCGAACGGAAAGGCCCCCACCUUGGUGGGGGUGCUCGAGUGGCGAACGGGUGAGUAACACGUGGGUGAUCUGCCCUGUACUUCGGGAUAAGCUUGGGAAACUGGGUCUAAUACCGGAUAGGACCAUGGUUUAGUGUCUCAUGGUGGAAAAAUAUUGUUUUGGUGCAGGAUGAGCUCGCGGCCUAUCAGCUUGUUGGUGGGGUAAUGGCCUACCAAGGCGUCGACGGGUAGCCGGCCUGAGAGGGUGGACGGCCACAUUGGGACUGAGAUACGGCCCAGACUCCUACGGGAGGCAGCAGCUAAGAAUAUUCCGCAAUGGGGGGAACCCUGACGGAGCGACGCCGCGUGGACGAUGAAGGUCGGAAGAUUGUAAAGUCCUUUUAUACAUGAAGAAGAAGUUAUACAGGAAAUGGUAUGAUGGUGACGGUAGUGUAUGAAUAAGCACCGGCUAAUUACGUGCCAGCAGCCGCGGUAACACGUAAGGUGCGAGCGUUGUUCGGAAUUAUUGGGCGUAAAGGGCAUGUAGGCGGUUAUGUAAGCCUGAUGUGAAAUCCUGGGGCUUAACCCUAGAAUAGCAUUGGGUACUGUGUAACUUGAAUUACGGAAGGGAAACUGGAAUUCCAAGUGUAGGGGUGGAAUCUGUAGAUAUUUGGAAGAACACCGGUGGCGAAGGCGGGUUUCUGGCCGAUAAUUGACGCUGAGAUGCGAAAGUGUGGGGAUCGAACAGGAUUAGAUACCCUGGUAGUCCACACCGUAAACGAUGUACACUAGGUGUUGGGGUACGAACUUCAGUGCCAAAGCAAACGCGAUAAGUGUACCGCCUGGGGAGUAUGCCCGCAAGGGUGAAACUCAAAGGAAUUGACGGGGGCCCGCACAAGCGGUGGAGCAUGUGGUUUAAUUCGAUGAUACGCGAGGAACCUUACCAAGGUUUAAAUGGAGACUGACGUACUUAGAGAUAGGUAUUUCUUCGGACAGUUUUCAAGGUGCUGCAUGGUUGUCGUCAGCUCGUGCCGUGAGGUGUCAGGUUAAGUCCUAUAACGAGCGCAACCCCUGCCAUUAGUUGCUAACGAGUCAAGUCGAGCCCUCUAGUGGGACUGCCGGUGCAAACCGUGAGGAAGGUGGGGAUGACGUCAAAUCAUCACGGCCCUUACAUCUUGGGCUACACACGUGCUACAAUGGUCGUUACAGAGAGCAGCCACUGCGCGAGCAGGAGCGAAUCUAUAAAGACGGUCACAGUUCGGAUCGGAGUCUGCAACUCGACUCCGUGAAGCUGGAAUCGCUAGUAAUCGGAUAUCAGCCAUGAUCCGGUGAAUACGUUCCCGGGCCUUGUACACACCGCCCGUCAAGCCAUGGAAGCUGGGGGUACCUGAAGACGGUCACCGCGAGGAGCUGUUUAGGGUAAAACUAGUGACUGGGGCUAAGUCGUAACAAGGUAGCCGUACCGGAAGGUGCGGCUG
rnacentral:rRNA from 1 species